rnacentral:rRNA from 1 species
GUAUCAGAAGUGCGAAUGCUGACAUAAGUAACGAUAAAGCGGGUGAAAAGCCCGCUCGCCGGAAGACCAAGGGUUCCUGUCCAACGUUAAUCGGGGCAGGGUGAGUCGACCCCUAAGGCGAGGCCGAAAGGCGUAGUCGAUGGGAAACGGGUUAAUAUUCCCGUACUUGGUGUUACUGCGAAGGGGGGACGGAGAAGGCUAUGUUGGCCGGGCGACGGUUGUCCCGGUUUAAGCGUGUAGGUGUGUGUUCCAGGUAAAUCCGGUUCACUUUAACACUGAGGCGUGACGACGAGGCACUACGGUGCUGAAGCAACAAAUGCCCUGCUUCCAGGAAAAGCCUCUAAGCAUCAGGUAACAUCAAAUCGUACCCCAAACCGACACAGGUGGUCAGGUAGAGAAUACCAAGGCGCUUGAGAGAACUCGGGUGAAGGAACUAGGCAAAAUGGUGCCGUAACUUCGGGAGAAGGCACGCUGACACGUAGGUGAAGUGAUUUACUCAUGGAGCUGAAGUCAGUCGAAGAUACCAGCUGGCUGCAACUGUUUAUUAAAAACACAGCACUGUGCAAACACGAAAGUGGACGUAUACGGUGUGACGCCUGCCCGGUGCCGGAAGGUUAAUUGAUGGGGUCAGCGCAAGCGAAGCUCCUGAUCGAAGCCCCGGUAAACGGCGGCCGUAACUAUAACGGUCCUAAGGUAGCGAAAUUCCUUGUCGGGUAAGUUCCGACCUGCACGAAUGGCGUAAUGAUGGCCAGGCUGUCUCCACCCGAGACUCAGUGAAAUUGAACUCGCUGUGAAGAUGCAGUGUACCCGCGGCAAGACGGAAAGACCCCGUGAACCUUUACUAUAGCUUGACACUGAACAUUGAGCCUUGAUGUGUAGGAUAGGUGGGAGGCUUUGAAGCGUGGACGCCAGUCUGCGUGGAGCCGACCUUGAAAUACCACCCUUUAAUGUUUGAUGUUCUAACGUGGACCCGU